GAACAAAAGUUUUUGUUCACUCCUCACACCAUAUCUCGCCCGGAUCGCCAUAGUAUUCGGGCGUU
rfam:Limnothrix rosea IAM M-220 NIES-208_Scaffold_11, whole genome shotgun sequence.